rnacentral:tRNA from 3 species
CAAGACGUAGCUAUAACCCCA